UUAGAAUGUUGUCAACCAUUAGUUUUAGAAUGUUAUAGCAUUGUUGUGAAAUUAUAUCUGAUGUUUAUAUAGUGAAAAAGUGAUGUUUCUGUUAUUUAAUAAUAAAAUUAAAUGAAAUUAUAAUGUUGUUAUGUUAUAAAUGAAAUUGUUACAACUGCAUGAGGACAAAGGGAUAAUGGAUCAUAAAACAAGAUGUUUGUAAACAAUCAUUUUUUAAGUAUCUAAAGUUUAAUUGCACAAUAAUUAAAUAAUGUGGAAAAAGUUAUAACUAUUAUAUUCAACCACUAAUUUUCUUAGUAUCCUAGUGUAUGUAUACUGUCUGUCUCUGUGAAUAGUGUGUUGGAUUGUUAUUUGUUUAAAUAUCGGUGCUUUUAUAAGAUAACGUAUUUAUGGAGUAUCCUUGCAUUAAGUGUAGAAACGAAGUCAGACUGCGUCAACAUGCCAUUGCCUGCGACUCGUAUGGCAGCUGGCAACACAGAACCUGUGACACAGCUACCGUGCAGGGGUUAUGUCUGCAAGUUCCUUGCUAAAAAAAGAUGAGCACCAUUUACAAACGCAGGCUCACUACAACAGUUCACGAGGAGGAAUAAUUGUGAUAAAAACAUUAACUAGCAUAGGAGUGGAUUUGACUUCUUGAUAUUGUGUAGCUGGAACACUUUGAAUUAUUAUAUUGUGAAUUUGACUUCUUGGUGUAGAACAGUGAAUGAAUAGUGCGAUAUGUGAUUUUUACUUAAUAACUAUGCAGUUGUGACUGUUCUGAUGUUUUAUUAAUGUUUUAUAAAUAAAGUUAUAACUCUGA